rnacentral:rRNA from 1 species
UACAGAGGUCUCAAGCGUUGUUCGGAUUCAUUGGGCGUAAAGGGUGCGUAGGUGGCGCCGUAAGUCGGAUGUGAAAUCCUGAGGCUUAACCUCGGAACUGCAUUCGAUACUGCGGUGCUUGAGGACUGGAGAGGAGACUGGAAUUCAUGGUGUAGCAAUGAAAUGCGUAGAGAUCAUGAGGAAGACCAGUGGCGAAGGCGGGUCUCUGGGCAUUACCUGACGCUGAGGAGCGAAAGUGUGGGGAGCGAACAGG